rnacentral:rRNA from 1 species
AGUGGCAAACGGGUGAGUAACGCGUAGGUAACCUGCCUUAAAGUCGGGAAUAGCUCAGCGAAAGUUGAGGUAAUACUCGAUAGUCUCCAAUCACUUCGGUGUUUUGGAGUAAAGUUUCGGCGCUUUAAGAGGGGCCUGCGUCCUAUCAGCUAGUUGGUGAGGUAAAAGCUCACCAAGGCUAAGACGGGUAGCUGGUGUGAGAGCAUGUUCAGCCACCAUGGAACUGAGACACGGUCCAUACUCCUACGGGAGGCAGCAAUUAGGAAUCUUGCGCAAUGGGGGCAACCCUGACGCAGCGACACAGCGUGGAGGAGGAAGGUCUUCGGAUUGUAAACUCCUUUUAUGAGGGACGAAUAGAUGACGGUACCUCUUGAAUAAGUACCUGCUAACUACGUGCCAGAAGCAUCGGUGAUGCGUAGGGUACAAACGUUAUCCGGAGUUAUUGGGCGUAAAGAGAUGCGUAGGCGGCUUAAUAAGUCUAAGGUUAAAGUCCACGGCUCAACCGUGGAAAAGCUUUGGAUACUGUUAGGCUUGAGAUAUAGAGGGGUGAAUGGAAUUCCAAGUGGAGUGGUGAAAUACGUUGAUAUUUGGAAGAACACCAGUGGCGAAGGCGAUUCACUGGCUAUUAUCUGACGCUAAGGCUCGAAAGUAUGGGUAGCAAAACGGAUUAGAUACCCGUGUAGUCCAUACCGUAAACGAUGAAUGCUAGGUGUUUGACUCAAC